rnacentral:rRNA from 1 species
CAGCCGCCGCGGUAAUACGAAGGGGACUAGCGUUGUUCGGAUUUACUGGGCGUAAAGCACACGUAGGCGGACUUUUAAGUCAGGGGUGAAAUCCCGGGGCUCAACCCCGGAACUGCCUUUGAUACUGGGAGUCUUGAGUUCGAGAGAGGUGAGUGGAAUUGCGAGUGUAGAGGUGAAAUUCGUAGAUAUUCGCAGGAACACCAGUGGCGAAGGCGGCUCACUGGCUCGAUACUGACGCUGAGGUGCGAAAGCGUGGGAAGCAAACAGGAUUAGAUACCCCCGUAGUCCCUGUCUCUUAUAC